rnacentral:rRNA from 1 species
CCUACGGGAGGCAGCAGUAGGGAAUAUUGCUCAAUGGGGGAAACCCUGAAGCAGCAACGCCGCGUGGAGGAUGAAGGUUUUCGGAUUGUAAACUCCUUUUGUUAGAGAAGAUAAUGACGGUAUCUAACGAAUAAGCACCGGCUAACUCCGUGCCAGCAGCCGCGGUAAUACGGAGGGUGCAAGCGUUACUCGGAAUCACUGGGCGUAAAGAGCGCGUAGGCGGGAUAGCAAGUCAGAUGUGAAAUCCUAUGGCUUAACCAUAGAACUGCAUUUGAAACUGUUAUUCUAGAGUAUGGGAGAGGUAGGUGGAAUUCUUGGUGUAGGGGUGAAAUGCGUAGAGAUCAAGAGGAAUACUGAUUGCGAAGGCGACCUGCUAGAACAUAACUGACGCUGAUGCGCGAAAGCGUGGGGAGCAAACAGGAUUAGAUACCCGAGUAGUC